rnacentral:lncRNA from 1 species
AACUUUUUGAGCCCUGUUUAAUAAUUAUUUGCCUAGUCAAGCUCAUGUAUAUAUUUGCUUGUUUUUUCCUAAAAGCUUUGUUGUCUUAUCUUUCAAAUUUAUUUUUAUUUUAUUUUAUUUUAUUUUUGUCUUUUUGCCACUUCUUGGGCCGCUCCCAUGGCAUAUGGAGGUUCCCAGGCUAGGGGUGGAAUCGGAGCUGUAGCCACCGGCCUACGCCAGAGCCACAGCAACGCGGGAUCCGAGCCGCGUCUGCGACCUACACCACAGCUCACGGCAACGCCAGAUCGUUAACCCACUGAGCAAGGGCAGGGAUCGAACCUGCAACCUCAUGGUUCCUAGUCGGAUUCGUUAACCACUGCGCCACGAUGGGAACUCCUUAUCUUUCAAAUUUAAAUCUACAAUACAUCUAGCAAUAUAUAAAAGAUAAUAUGCCUUGCCCAAGUGGGUUUGUAACAGGAAUUCAAAGGCAGUUUUGCAAUUGAAAAUCAAUCAGUGUAGUGCACCAUUGUAUUAGGGAAAAAAUAGAGCAAAAUUAUAUAUGUUAACAGAUGCAUAAAAGUAAAAAUAUGUGAAAAAUUCAAUACUCAUUACAAUAGAACACACACCUAUAUACAUAUAUAUAUUUGCACACAUAUUGUUAGCAAAUGAGGAAAAGGGCUUACUAAGUCAGAUUUUUAAAAAAAAUCUAUAAAGCAAACAUCAUACUUUGUGUUAAAAUACUACAACUACCCCUUAAGAUUAGAAAUACAAGACAUAGAUGCUGCCAUCACCACUUCUUUACAGUAUUGCACUUAUAAUAAGUCAAGAGUAAUAAGCCAAGAAAAAAACUUAUUGGAAAGAAAGACUUAAAAUUGCCAUUAUGCCUGGAUGACAUGAUAAUGUGUCUAGGAAAUCUCAAAGAAACUACAUACUAUUAGAACUAAUAAGUGUUUUUAGCAAGGUCAUCUGGGUUCUAUAUCAAUGAACAGACUAAUUGUAUUUCUGUAUCAAGAAACAAACACAUAGAAAAUGAAUUUUUUUAAAGAUUUAUAAUUGCAUUAGAGAAUAUCAAAUGUAAAAAAUAAUUUAAGGGUAGGGUGUAUAAUGCCUCUGAGUUAAAACUACAAAAUAUUAUUGAGAGAAGUUUUUUUUUUUUUUUUUUUUUUUUUUUAGGGCCUCACUUGUGGCCUGUGGAGGUUCCCAGGCUAGCAUCAAAUCAGAGUUGUAGCUGCCGGCCUGCGCCACAGCCACAGCCAGAGCAAGGCCAGAUCUGAGCUGCAUCUGCAACCUACACCACAGUUCAAGGCAACGCGGGCUCUUUAACCCACUGAGCAAGGCCAGGGAUUGAACCUGCAUCCUUUUGGAUACUAGUCAGAUUCAUUUCUAAUCAAAAUUCCUGCAGGUUUUUUGAUUUGUUGUUUUACUUUGCUUUUUGUAAUUGGGAAGCUGGCUCUAAAAUGUAUUUGGAAAAGUAAAGAUCUAAGAAGAGCCAAGAGGAGUUCCUUGGUGACCUAUUGGUUAAGAAUCUGGUGUUGUCACUGUUGAGGCUCUGGUUCAAUCCCUGGCCCAUGAACAUCCAUAUGCCAUGGAUGCAACCAAAGAAAUAAAAUAAAGUAAGAAGGGCCAAGACAAUCUUGAAGAAUAGGAAUGAAGCUAGAGAACUUUCCAUUACUACAUAAAGCUGUGGUCAGUAAAGUAAUGUACUAUUGGUUCAGCUACAUAUGAAUAGAACUAAUGGAACAUAAUAAAAAGUUCAGAAAAAUGACCUUCUUAUACAAAGUCAAUUGACCUAAGACAAAAAUAAAUAAAUAAAUAAAUAAAUAAAUAAAUCACCCUAUAGAGCACUAGGCAUACACUAGUCUUUUCAAUAAAUGGCAUUAGGUUCCUUGAAUAUUCAUAUAGAAAUUUUAAAAAAAGAAUCUUCACUCCUACCUCACACCACAUAUACAGGCCAAAAUAUUUUGAGUAACAAAGAUAUGUCUUUCCAAAAUAAAGGUAUUUUUUAAUUAGAGAACUAUAUUUUUAUUUAUUCAUUUGGUUUUGCUUUAGCUAUCUAGAAACUCAUGGAUAAAAUAUGUAUGAUUACAGUAAUUUUCUUUAAUCUAAUGUUUUUAUCUCUUUUAUUGCAGGGUUCUUAUUCUCUCAUCCUUGCUUUAAUGAUUCUGCUUUACUAAUCUUUUUUUGUGCAAGUUAUUUUGAAUCCUUUUUUAAAAAAAUAGACAGGGUAAAAUAAUGAAUAAGUCAAUCAGUGAGGGAAGUUAAACUUCUUUUGAAAUUUUGAAGCCUGAUUGAAUUGUCAAAAAGAAUGAUAGCUCAUAUAGUACUCCUUGUAAUUGCACUUUGAUAAAAUUAUAACCGUCCAACAUCAUAUUGCCAAUACAUAUUAUGCAUAUAAAUAUUACAUGAAAUGUUCUUUAAAUGUUAACAUAUGUGUCAGUAUUAAAAAUAAGUAGCAUUCACAUGGAAAAAGAAUCUGCUUUUUAUAAACUGCCUAUAAUAUAUGCUUGAACCAAAAAAUACAUCAUUUGUUCCUCUUUAGUCAUCAUAAUGGACAAGAAAGGAGGGGAGAAGGAAUAAUUCUUUUGAAGGUAGGAAGUGUAAUGAUUGGUAAGUCUUUCCACCCCUGUUAAUGAUGAAGGUCACAGGAUUUAGAGAUACCAAACCAACUUGCAUAGGAAUCUCGGCACUACCGCUUAGUGACUCUGUAUUCAAUGGACAGGUUACUUGACUUUUCUUAUAUUUUCUUUAUAUCCAGGGCAGGAAUAAGAAUACCUAUGGAUUGGGCGUUGCUGUGGCUGUGGUGUAGGCCAGCAGCUGUAGCUCCGAUUGGACCCCUAGCAUGGGAACCUCCAUAUGCUUCGGGUGCGGCCCUAAAACAAAACAAAACAAAACAAAAAAUACCUACCUCAUACAAGCUUGUCUUUGUGUAAGCCUGAAUAUAUGUUGGAGACUGAUUGUUUUGCAGAGUGUAAUUUUCUAAAUCUUACUAUCCAUUCCAGUUUAUUUAUUUCUCAAUUGUUGGCCUCUGCACAUAGGGCUUUGAUGUGGGACCUUAGUUCCCAGUGCAGGGACUGAACCUAGGCUGCAGCUGUGAGAGUGCCGAGUCCUAAGCACUAGGUCACCAGGGAACUCCCUUCCAUCCUAAUUUAGAUGGAAGAUCUUGAUUUUGUGAUUCUAGAAGAGAAAAAACUUGAGCACCUAUAUGAAAGAAGCUAGCUGUAUAUAGAAUAGCUCAACUAGGAGAGUGGGUUCAAAACCCAGAGGAUGUGAGGCAGAUAAGGAAAUCUGAACACUUCGUGCAGCCCAUCAGUUGCAAUGAGGGCCUGGGGAGUUGUAACCUCUGAAAGUGUAGAUGCUGUUGCUGUAGUGUGAAGCACUACAGCACUGGCGGGCCCUCUGAGCUCUCAUUCCACCCAACACACGUGGUAAUAAAGUGCAGCACAUAUUACCCACAUCAGAGCAAUCGCUACAGACUCAAAAUAAUAUUUUAAUGACUUCUCUAGCCUGCAUUUGGGGGGAUCAUUUCAGACCUGGAGUUUUGUCUUUUUCUAGUUUAAUAUACCUUCCCCCUUAGAUCUCUGCAUUUGAAGAAAUCUCUUUCACAGUGUACUUCCCAGAGAGUGUUUUAUGUGAUUCUUAAUGCCCAGAGGGAACCUUUGAUCCAAAAUAUAAGGUCAGCAGCCAAAACCAGAAUUAGGGUGUCUGCCAUGGGAAAAGUCUACACAUUUCAGGAGGAUGGGUAAGGAUAAUUUGUGGAAAAGGCGAUGUUUCCCUCUUUCCCCCUUCAGUCUGGUGGCUGAUGUUUUUUAGGUCAGUCACCUCUGCCAAAGACAGAUUUUUGUCAUCAAAUAGGAACUAAACCCUGUGUCACAUGGGAAGUUUCUAGGACCUUUUUUCCCUUCUGUUGACACCCGUAUCUAUUGGCACUUGCAAUGGUCUUUUUCUAUUGCUCAGGUGAUAAGCAUCAUAUCAAGAUGCAAAUAAGGGAACAUUUUUUAUAUUUAAUAUUAAGGUAAAUUUACUCCUUCCCUCUCCCCCCACCAGGAACCUACCAUUCCUACUGACCAUACAGAAUCUUUUGCUAUAGGCCAGGGAGUGAAAUAGCAGAUUAUGUUCUUCACUUCACAGGACCCUGAACUAAGAAUUCUGCACACCUUAUAUGAUAUUGGGGUUAUACAGAAUAUAAAGUACAGAUUAAUAGCCAACCAGUCAUAUUAAAAUGCACCAAAGACAUAACGAUAUCUUGAAACCUCACCAUAGAAAGAAAAGUUCUGUGUAGAUACUUCUGUAAACAAAUCUAGAAAAGUUCAAUUUUACUUGCUUGUAAAAAGUUUUAUAGCCAUGGAAAUGUCUAAAAUUAAGCAAUACUAGAGAAAAACUAAUUUACUUUUCAAAAGAUGAUUCAAGUCUAGAAGUGAGUUUGUUAUCACACGGUAAUUUGCUAAACUGAAGCAGGAGUUAUUUUGGAUUGAAUUUGUUACAUAGCUCAUGCAUGAAAUGAUCUGUUGCUUGUUCUUGUGAAGUUGUUUUCACACUCGGAAACAGCAGAGGGGAAAAAAAAUGUAUUCUGUCUGAGGCAUUGUAAAAAUAUUGAAGGCUCUGUCUGAGGUUUUUUGUAGAGGUAUCUGACUAGAACUUGUCAUUUACACUUUACAGGCCAAUAAUUGUUAAGCCAAAAUCGCAGAUGCUUAGCUUUCAGAAUCAUUUCUUAAUGUAGACUGUUCAGAGACCGAUUCAGGCAUCUUGAAACUGUCACUCAUGUGAUUACACUGCCAUCGUGUGGUUUUAAAGAUCCCCUUCAAUUGAAAAAAAAAA